UACGUAGGGGGCAAGCGUUAUCCGGAUUUACUGGGUGUAAAGGGAGCGUAGACGGUUAUGUAAGUCUGGAGUGAAAGCCCGGGGCUCAACUCCGGGACUGCUUUUGAAACUGUGUGACUGGAGUGCAGGAGAGGUAAGCGGAAUUCCUGGUGUAGCGGUGAAAUGCGUAGAUAUUAGGAGGAACACCAGUGGCGAAGGCGGCCUGCUGGACGAUGACUGACGUUGAGGCUCGAAAGCGUGGGGAGCAAACAGG
rnacentral:rRNA from 1 species